GUCCAUCCUGUUUCCUUUUUUCCCCAAUAUUUUGUAUUCAACUGAGCCAACAAUCUGAACCUGGGGCCCAUAAAAUUCAUCAGUAGAGAGAAUGAAUGGUUUAUUGAUUUCAUCUGUAGGUUCUAGGUUUUUUCCCCCUACCUGUCUAACUGGAAGCAUCAGAAAAAGGAUUCAUUAGCAAUAUUAUGUCUAAGGAGUCUAGAGCCAUGAAACUCUACCUUCUAGCUUUUCUGAUGGCUAUUCUGCUUGCCCUGGCUAGAGCUGAUAGUUCAUCUCGGGAGGUUUGCCUGGAAGGCUGACUCAAUCUAUCUAUGUGAUGAAUCUACAAAUCUACAAAUUUGUGAAUCUAUUUAUCUGCCUAUCAGCCUCCAUUGCUAAAAUUAAUUAAUUAAUCCUAAAGGAUUAAUGCUUUCCUUUACAUUCUUCAUAUAAUAAAUUCAGCUUACAGCACAGCAAA